GCCAGACUCAGUUACCGGAUUCACCUCUGUCUCCCCAGCCAUCGGCAAAGUACCUGGUCCUGCCUGGUACUCAGCAAGUAUUUGUUGACCCAACUGAACUUCCCUGGGGCCAGCUCUGGCAGGAAACCAAGGACCCAGCCUGAUAAGGAGAUAGAGGCUCAGAGAGGUGACUUGAGUUGUCCAAGGUCAUACUGCAAGCAAAUGGCAGAGCUGGGCUUUGAAUCAGGCACUUCGGCUCUGAAGGUUUCUCUUCCACUACCACCUGGCUUGGUAUAGAGGCCUGGCUUAGAAGAAGCUGACUCAUGUGAGUCAGACAGCACUCUGAACUGGGCCCCCACUUUGUGCAGAACUCUAGCUGAGGCUUCUCAGGGGCAAGAAGAACACAACUCCCUCGGCCCCAGCCCCAGGGAACCUGCUGCCGUGGCUCAGGAAACAGACACAAGGCCAGCCUCUCUCCAUGUGGCCACUCCAGCAGAGAAGCUUGACUUCUUACCUGGAAUCUCAGGGCUCCGAAGGAGCUGCAAGGCCUUAACAAUGAGGCUGGAAAGAAAGAAUACCAGUCCCUGUCUCAUGGGGCAGUUCAGAGGAUGCAGAGACAGAACGUAUGCGCAGCACACAUCCCAGGGCCUCGCUACUGUUGCCAUCAGCUCGCUCUGCUGCUGCCGUGUCUAAAACACCAGUUUCAGCCUCCCUACCUAAACAAGUGAUGAAGCCCUGAUGCUCUGUGCCAGGCUUGGACGGCUGACUCCCUCGUGAGCUGGGACUGCACCUCAGCAGGAGAGAACGGAGGCUGACCCCUCUGUGACCUUCAGCCCACUCCUCCCUCCCUCCCCCAGCCCCGAGAGGAGAGGAGAGGCCAGCUGGAGACCUGUCACAAGGUGUCCUGCUGCUGAGCUACCCAUGGCCCCUCCCUCUCCUCAGUGCCUCCCGCCUGGAUCGCCUGGCCCAGACCCCAGGCAGUCUCAGAGAUGACAGCAGGAGGCUGUGGGACUCCGGCAGCCUGGGCUUCGGUGCCUCACAGCCCCCAUGUUACAGAGAAGGAGGGUCUGACACCUCCCCAUUUCUGGCUGGGCGCUGCUCUUUCCUCUCUUGGGAGGUCUGGCAAGGGGGCUAUUGAUGAGAGUGGGGCCCAUGCUCCUUUCCAAAAUCUGGACUAUGGCUUGGUGUUAAGUUCACACCAUUUGUCACAGGGCCCUGAGAUAAAUUUAGGGAGCGUCAGCCUCAGAGGAUGGGGUGGGCUCAUCUAGUCAGCCAACCAUUUUCAUUGCCCAUUCUUUUCUUCAUUCCACAAAGAUUUCCUGAGCACCUACUGUGCACCAGGCUCUAUUCUAGACACUGAGGAUCCAGAGAGAGCAGGACUGAUAAAAG
rnacentral:lncRNA from 1 species